GUAGAGACUAGAGUCUCACCUCGACAUCACUCGUUGGCUUGGUGUGCUAGAGUCCUCUUAGAGUGAAGACUGCUCCUAUUCACCGACCGGCUCUCUAGGCCGGUCGGCCACAUGGUCAGUUACACGC